GACGAACGCUGGCGGCGUGCUUAACACAUGCAAGUCGAACGGGCCUUGUCCCCUUUUUUUUGGGGGUGGGGUUAGGGGCGCACGGGUGAGUAACACGUGAGUAACCUGCCCCUUACUUCUGGAUAACCGCUUGAAAGGGUGGCUAAUACGGGGUGGUCUGGCCUGCUUGCAUGGGUGGGUUUGGCAAGGUUCGACCGGUUUUGGUUGUUUUGGUGGGGGGUGGGCUCGCGGCCUAUCAGGUUGUUGGUGGGGUGAUGGCCUGCCAAGGCUUUGACGGGUAGCCGGCCUGAGAGGGUGGGCGGUCACACUGGGACUGAGACACGGCCCAGACUCCUACGGGAGGCAGCAGUGGGGAAUAUGGCACAAGGGGCGCAAGCCUGAUGCAGCGACGCCGCGUGAGGGAUGGAGGCCUUCGGGUUGUGAACCUCUUUCGCCAGUGAAGAAGGUCCUGCUCUUUGUGGUGGGGUUGACGGUAGCUGGGUUAAUGAAGCGCCGGCUAACUACGUG
rnacentral:rRNA from 1 species